UACGUAGGAUGCAAGCGUUGUCCGGAUUUACUGGGCGUAAAGCGCGCGCAGGCGGCAGGUUAAGUAAGGUGUGAAAUCUCCCUGCUCAACGGGGAGGGUGCACUUUAGACUGACCAGCUAGAGGGCGGUAGAGGGUGGUGGAAUUGCUGGUGUAGUGGUGAAAUGCGUAGAGAUCAGCAGGAACACCCGUGGCGAAGGCGGCCACCUGGGCCGUACCUGACGCUGAGGCGCGAAGGCUAGGGGAGCGAACGGG
rnacentral:rRNA from 1 species